CCUACGGGAGGCAGCAGUGGGGAAUAUUGCACAAUGGGCGAAAGCCUGAUGCAGCAACGCCGCGUGAGCGAUGAAGGCCUUCGGGUCGUAAAGCUCUGUCCUCAAGGAAGAUAAUGACGGUACUUGAGGAGGAAGCCCCGGCUAACUACGUGCCAGCAGCCGCGGUAAUACGUAGGGGGCUAGCGUUAUCCGGAAUUACUGGGCGUAAAGGGUGCGUAGGUGGUUUCUUAAGUCAGAGGUGAAAGGCUACGGCUCAACCGUAGUAAGCCUUUGAAACUGGGAAACUUGAGUGCAGGAGAGGAGAGUGGAAUUCCUAGUGUAGCGGUGAAAUGCGUAGAUAUUAGGAGGAACACCAGUUGCGAAGGCGGCUCUCUGGACUGUAACUGACACUGAGGCACGAAAGCGUGGGGAGCAAACAGGAUUAGAUACCCUGGUAGUCCACGCCGUAAACGAUGAGUACUAGCUGUCGGAGGUUACCCCCUUCGGUGGCGCAGCUAACGCAUUAAGUACUCCGCCUGGGAAGUACGCUCGCAAGAGUGAAACUCAAAAGCUGAAUUGACGG
rnacentral:rRNA from 1 species